CCUCACAGACUAUUUAAGGCUCUCCAAAAUACCAGCAGAAGGGCACUGACGCAGUCAAUAUUCUGUUUAUCAGUAUCAUCAGCGAUGUCACAGUCUGGGCAUGCAAAGAUCUCUUGAUAUAACAACCUCCUCAGCACCUAAAUCCUGACAUUCACGGAAGUACAACAAUAGACAAAAAGGUCCGACUUUGGAAAGAGUCAAACUACUAAAAGCAGAUCCUUCUGGGAGCUAUUCCAUGGAGAACGGCAGUGACAGAGUUAGCACCUCCAAGGACUGAUUUUUAGAAACAUCUGACCAAGCAACCCUGCUUCCAACUACUUAGUUACUGAAAUCUAUGGAAGGAAGGAGAAAGAAGAAUUCACCACUGAGUUAAUUCACGCAAGCAGAAAGCGCAUUUUUAAUGCUUCUAAGGCUCUAAGACUCAGUGCAUCGUACACGUCAUUCCUAUCUCUGUCAGCUGCAAACCAAACU
rnacentral:lncRNA from 1 species